UACAACCAUAUCUCGUUUAAACGCCGGUUAUCGUUCGAUCGCCGAAGUUAAGCAACGUCAAGCGUAGUCCGUACCUAGAUGGGUGACCACUUGUGAAUAACAGGUGCUGUAU